CAGACUUUAAAAGAACUGAGUAAAGACCAUAUAAGCCCAUUCACUCACCUGGCGGGUGUUUUAUUGAACACCUUCUAUUUGCCAGGCAUUAUUCUAGACACUGGGGCUACAUCAGUGGAAUCCAUCCUUGUGAAGUUUACCUUUUAGUUGGGGGAAGACUGACAAUAAAAACAAGAAACCUGCCGGAAUUCUCCUUCUUCCCCCGUCUUCACACAGCUGUGACCCCGAACCCGUGGAGUAUCGCUCCUUGAGGGGCUCCUGCAGCACCUGGUACUUGGCCUUGGUGAUAUGGACCACUUGAUUCAACACUCUUCCUCUGGUUGAAUGGGACAUCCCUGAAGGCAGGACCAAUGGCCCGCUCAUUCUCCAGAGCCUGGCUCAUCAUGAGCCCUUGAAGUACUAAUUGAAGGAGUAAAUUCACAUUCUCCUUGGACAUUUCCUUUCACUCUUUCUGUGCAUGCUAAUUUACUUUCUCUAGUAAUAAUAAAUGUCAUUUUGUUUUGCAUGCUGCUAUGGUUUGAAUGUUU
rnacentral:lncRNA from 10 species